AGGAGGAAUAACCGCAGUGGCCCGGCCAGCUCUGCAGCCCUGGAGUCAGCCCCCGCAGUAGCUCUGAAGCUCUCCGUCUGCAGGGCCUGGAGGCUCAGGGCGGGG
rnacentral:pre_miRNA from 1 species